rnacentral:rRNA from 1 species
UGGGGAAUCUUGCGCUAAUGCGCGAAAGCGUGACGCAGCGACGCCGCGUGGGGUAUGAAGGCCUUCGGGUCGUAAACCCCUUUCGCCAGGGAAGAAGGGAAACUGACGGUACCUGGAGAAGAAGUCCCGGCUAACUACGUGCCAGCAGCCGCGGUAACACGUAGGGGACGAGCGUUGUCCGGAUUUAUUGGGCGUAAAGCGCGCGUAGGCGGCCCGGAAAGUCGGUUGUGAAAACCCGGGGCUCAACCCCGGGCCUGCAUCCGAAACUUCCGGGCUGGAGGUAGGUAGGGGAGAUCGGAAUUCCUGGUGUAGCGGUGAAAUGCGCAGAUAUCAGGAGGAACACCGGUGGCGAAGGCGGAUCUCUGGGCCUUACCUGACGCUGAGGCGCGAAAGCUAGGGGAGCGAACAGG